AGGCGAGGUGCGGCGCGCCAGAGCGCAGGACUUCCUGGGAGGCAGUCGAGGAGCCCUGGCUUUACAAAGAAAAGCAAAUGAAAGAUGCACUGCGAGAGGCGGGAGGAAGAAACCCUGAGUCUCCCGAGACUCAAAGUUCUCCUGCAGAAUAGAAGCCGAAUAUGACUGAGUUGAGAGAGUCGGAGGGAAGGGGAGUUGAUUUAAUGGACUCGGAUGGCCAUGGCAGUUUCUCUUCCAUUCUUCGGCCACACACACAGAAGCGCAAACUAUGUUUCAGAUUAUGCAAAAAGGAGAGAAAAACUUAAAAAGAGGAAUCUGAGAAACUAUGAAGGCUCCAUUAGACCUUGGCAGAGGCCCAAAGAGACCACCAAGCUUGCUCAUAAAUGCACAGUGUCUAAUAAAAAUGCAAUGAUUAUUAUUAUUAUACAUUUAUUGAGCAGCAAAAAUGCACUAAAUUAAAAAAUAUAUGCACUGUG
rnacentral:lncRNA from 1 species